GGGCAGGUACCGCAAAUUUGCUCUUGCGAUCGGCACAGUACUGGGAGACUUGCUCCCUGAAUGUUAGCGGCGGACGGGUGAGUAACACGUGGGUAACCUGCCUGUAAGACUGGGAUAACUCCGGGAAACCGGGGCUAAUACCGGAUGGUUGUUUGAACCGCAUGGUUCAAACAUAAAAGGUGGCUUCGGCUACCACUUACAGAUGGACCCGCGGCGCAUUAGCUAGUUGGUGAGGUAACGGCUCACCAAGGCAACGAUGCGUAGCCGACCUGAGAGGGUGAUCGGCCACACUGGGACUGAGACACGGCCCAGACUCCUACGGGAGGCAGCAGUAGGGAAUCUUCCGCAAUGGACGAAAGUCUGACGGAGCAACGCCGCGUGAGUGAUGAAGGUUUUCGGAUCGUAAAGCUCUGUUGUUAGGGAAGAACAAGUACCGUUCGAAUAGGGCGGUACCUUGACGGUACCUAACCAGAAAGCCACGGCUAACUACGUGCCAGCAGCCGCGGUAAUACGUAGGUGGCAAGCGUUGUCCGGAAUUAUUGGGCGUAAAGGGCUCGCAGGCGGUUUCUUAAGUCUGAUGUGAAAGCCCCCGGCUCAACCGGGGAGGGUCAUUGGAAACUGGGGAACUUGAGUGCAGAAGAGGAGAGUGGAAUUCCACGUGUAGCGGUGAAAUGCGUAGAGAUGUGGAGGAACACCAGUGGCGAAGGCGACUCUCUGGUCUGUAACUGACGCUGAGGAGCGAUAGCGUGGGGAGCGAACAGGAUUAGAUACCCUGGUAGUCCACGCCGUACACGAUGAGUGCUAAGUGUUAGGGGGUUUCCGCCCCUUAUUGCUGCAGCUAACGCAUUAAGCACUCCGCCUGGGGAGUACGGUCGCAAGACUGAAACUCAAAGGAAUUGACGGGAGCCCGCACAAGCGUUGGAGCAACGGUUUUAUUCGAACCAGCGCAAGA
rnacentral:rRNA from 1 species